UUUACCCUACGGGACGCAGCAGUAGGGAAUCUUCCACAAUGGGCGAAAGCCUGAUGGAGCAACGCCGCGUGGGUGAAGAAGGUCUUCGGAUCGUAAAACCCUGUUGUUAGAGAAGAAAGUGCGUGAGAGUAACUGUUCACGUUUCGACGGUAUCUAACCAGAAAGCCACGGCUAACUACGUGCCAGCAGCCGCGGUAAUACGUAGGUGGCAAGCGUUAUCCGGAUUUAUUGGGCGUAAAGGGAACACAGGCGGUCUUUUAAGUCUGAUGUGAAAGCCUUCGGCUUAACCUG
rnacentral:rRNA from 1 species